GUAGGUGACCUGCGGAAGGAUCAUUACUGAGUGAGGGCCCUCUGGGUCCAACCUCCCACCCGUGUUUAUUGUACCUUGUUGCUUCGGUGCGCCCGCCUCACGGCCGCCGGGGGGCUUCUGCCCCCGGGUCCGCGCGCACCGGAGACACUAUUGAACUCUGUCUGAAGAUUGCAGUCUGAGCAUAAACUAAAUAAGUUAAAACUUUCAACAACGGAUCUCUUGGUUCCGGCAUCGAUGAAGAACGCAGCGAAAUGCGAUAACUAAUGUGAAUUGCAGAAUUCAGUGAAUCAUCGAGUCUUUGAACGCACAUUGCGCCCCCUGGUAUUCCGGGGGGCAUGCCUGUCCGAGCGUCAUUGCUGCCCUCAAGCACGGCUUGUGUGUUGGGCUCCGUCCCCCCGGGGACGGGUCCGAAAGGCAGCGGCGGCACCGAGUCCGGUCCUCGAGCGUAUGGGGCUUUGUCACCCGCUCUGUAGGCCCGGCCGGCGCCAGCCGACAACCAAUCAUCCUUUUUUCAGGUUGACCUCGGAUCAGGUAGGGAUACCCGCUGAACUUAAGCAUAUCAAUAAGCGGAGGAAAAGAAACCAACAGGGAUUACCUCAGUAACGGCGAGUGAAGCGGUAAGAGCUCAAAUUUGAAAGCUGGCUCCUUCGGGGUCCGCAUUGUAAUUUGCAGAGGAUGUUUCGGGAGCAGCCCCCAUCUAAGUGUCCUGG
rnacentral:rRNA from 1 species